AAAUGUCCUUAUGUUUUUUUGUUCUUCAACUCUUUCUUCUAAUUAUCACUUAGGUGUUGCUGGCCUUAAGUAUUACCUUCACCUACUUGCCCAUUUGUCUUAUUGUAAAAUCCUAUCCAUGUUAAGGAGUGUUUUUGUAGAAGGCUUUCUUUAGGACGUUAUUUCAGAUUCUUUUAUACCUCAAAAGUUGAUUUAUUUUUGGCAAUUUCAUGUUUCUUUCACCUAUUUUUCGUCCUUAUGCGCACUAUGAUUGUAUGACUCAUCGUCUUGACCUUUCAGUUUUACCUUUUUCCACUAAAAAGUUUUGUUUCGUUCUGUAUUUCCAUUUUUCCAUAAACGUGGCUCUCAAUUUUUGUUUGGUAUGUCACGAAGGACCUGGGUACCGUCACUAUGUAUUCGUCGGUGGGGCCAAAGGAAAGUAGAUUAGGGACUUGGAUGUAUUUAUCGGUGGGGUCAGAGGAAAGUGGUGCGUAGGGACGCGAUGUAUCCGAUGGUGCAGCCGAGGAAAGGGUCGAGAUGUAUACGUCUAUGGACCUAAAACAAAGUGGUGGGCACGCAUUAUACCUGCCGGUAGGGCCAAUCGAAUAUGGAGGUUCGGACACAAUGUAUUCGUAGAUGGGAUUUAUGUAUUCGUUAAUGGAGCCAAGGAGGUUAGGGACGCGGUGUACCUAUUCAUUGUCGGGAUCAAGAAAAGUUGAGGAUAAGGACGCGAUGGUUUCGUUGAGGGGACCAAAGGAAAGUUUAGGGCGGGGACGCGAUAUAUUCGUUUUUGGGGCCAUAUUAAAGUUUAGAGUAGGGACGCGAUGUAUCCGUCGGCGGAUUCAAGGGAAGUGGGAGAUAGAGUUUAGAGUAGGGACACGAUGUAUCCAUUGCCUUGUGCAAAAUAAAGUGGAGGGAAGGGACGCAUGAUGUGUUCGUCGAUGGGACCAAUGGAAAGUGGAGUAUCGCCAACCCUGUUGAAAAACGCGGAUGGUUCCACUGAGUUAUUGCCGUUAUUGGAAGUGACUCACCUUUUAACGUGAACGAGUACCUAUCCUUCAUAGUAUUUUCGAGUGUAUCCAGCCACUGUUCUCCACUGUAUCGGCUAUCCCGUUACUAGCGGCUACCCCAUCGAUAACCGUACUCUAAAGGGUUCCAGAACAGCUAAUUCUGAAGUUACUUCGCAAAGUGAGACCCGCAAUCUUUGAAGAGAUUGUCGAUAUCACCCAACGGUUCUGCAGUGCAUCGUUCCUCCCUGACGAAACUUCCCAGGAUAGGCCGGAAUUAAUAAGGCUAAGGAUAUCAGAAGGGCAGCCUUAUAAAGGUAGGAUUUUUCCUCUUUUGCAUGGUGUAUUGCAUGUCAUAUUUUGUGUAAAGGGGGGAAAAGUGAAUAGUGCACAUGGUGACUAAAAAGAAGAUCGUCAACUGUAUUGAGCUAACCGAGAGAGUAGUAAGUGAGUUGUGACUAUCUUCUCAAUCUAUCAUCUUUGCGAUGUAAGAUUGACAUCAAUGAUUCUUAAAAUAGUUCCCUUUCGCAGUCUGCGUCAGUUUGCGUUAUAUUAACAAGUGACUAUAAAUUCAUAGCCACAGUAAUGAUAAGACGUAAACUGACUGGUCGACGAAUUAGACUAAUGGAGAAGUAUUGAAGUCAAUUCUUUCGUUCCCAAGUGCCAUGGAUUUGACGAUUGUUAUACCUCAUUUAUUAUUACAUGAAGAUCGGCUUAAUAGUUUUUAAAAAGAGGGUGAGUAGUUGACUUAAUAAAUAGUAUGUUCGUUUAUUGUUACCGCCGUUGUGAAGCCAUAAGAUCAUUAUACACUUCUUUAAUAAACGAGCAUACUCUUACAAUAAAUUAUUACAUUGUGUGUUUAUGUUGUUUUACUAAUUUCAUUGGUUAUUCACAGGGCCAAGUGAUCGGUCUACUGCCAGCAUCAGUUCUACACAAACAACUCUGGUAGUGGAUCUUGAUUCAAGAUUAUCGUCGUCCCUGUUGAAUAAUUGUAUGGAUAUUGAAUAUGAGAGAGAUUCGAGAAGGGCAGCUAAAGGUAGGAUUUUUCUUUUAUUAAUUUUAAGCAGUGGGGGAAAAGUGAAUAGUGUCUGGAGAUAUUUUCCACUGAUCUUCGUACAUCGUAAGUACAGUUUAGUUGUCUUCUUAUCUUGGUGACAUAAGAUUGAUUGCAAUGAUUCUGCAAAGGUCUCUUUGGCGGAUUCAAUCAAUUUGCAUCAUAUUAAUUUGUAGAAGUAUGAAUUCAUAAUUUUACUUUUUUUAUGAAGCAAAACGAUUGUCUUUGCGAACAAACCUGUGCAGACACAUUGGAAUCAUGUCUUCCGUUCCCAAGUUGAGUGAUAGUCAACGCCCAAUUCUUAACACAAUAAUUUUCGUUUUUCUUAUGAUUAUGCAAUAAUACAUACCUAAUACAUUUUCCUUACAGUAGGUACACCAUUUUAGAAGCAGUUCGUUUGACAGGGGUUUCCAAGGCGUAUGUCAGGUGGACCUUAGUUAGAAGUAGUACUGUUGUAAAUUAAAGCUCACUUCAUGUGGUGUUAUAACCCUUUCGUGUAGUGUUGUUUGUUUGUUAUAAUCAUGAUUGAGAUUAAAAAAUUAAACAUUUCGAGUCGAGAGGUUGAGGGUGGCUGUAAGGGGUGGUAAAGGAGGCCACUAAAAGGGAUAUAGCACCUACAUGUAAUUUGCCUUAUUUAGAUAUGUACCUACUUCCGCCACCCAUUCAUUUUUGGUUCUUCAUUGCAUAAGAAUAAAUAUCUCCCUUUUAAAUAUUUCUUGCUCUUUUACCUUUUUCUUGGUUUUAGUAAUCGCUAAUGCAUCCAAAUCUGUUUUUAAUUCCUUGCUUUUUUCCAGU